GUGCCAGCAGCCGCGGUAAUACAGAGGUGGCAAGCGUUGUUCGGAAUUACUGGGCGUAAAGGGCGAGUAGGCGGCGUUCUAAGUCAGACGUGAAAUCCCCCGGCUUAACCUGGGAACUGCGUCUGAUACUGGGAGGCUAGAGUAUGGGAGAGGGAUGUGGAAUUCCAGGUGUAGCGGUGAAAUGCGUAGAUAUCUGGAGGAACACCGGUGGCGAAGGCGGCAUCCUGGACCAUAACUGACGCUGAUCCGCGAAAGCUAGGGGAGCAAACGGGAUUAGAAACCCCCGUAGUCC
rnacentral:rRNA from 1 species